UUGACCCACAGCCGCCAGCAAUGUACUUAGUAAUGGUUGCAAAACCAUGAGCUGUUGAUUGCUUCACAGUUGAAUAUCUUGCCUUGCUGUUAAGUGUUAACCAUGUUUCUAAGUAUGGGAGCCCCGAUGUCCUAUGCAGGAGUCCUUAGGAAUAGAGACAGACCAAAGGCUAUAUGACUCUUCUGUGACUAUGCAGCAGACACCUUUUUUCUCCCAAGAAAGGUCGGAACAACAUAAGCUUACAACAGCAGCUAGCUGAAAUGCUACUCAACAGGAAGAUUCUGUACAGGUGGAAACUAUUCAGUUGCCCUUUGUGCAUUCAUAGAACAGGGGCUAUUUCUUAAUUCAAGCUGGGAGAGAAAAAGGAAGGCUUAUUAAGCACCACUGCAGUGGCGCUGUGAGUCAAGGAGCCCUGGGACCUUCAGCGUCCUCACAACAGGAGAAAUCCCUACCUCAACACCUCUGUGCAAACCUGUCGUGUCCUUUGCAGGUUCCUUCACAGCUCCUUCCAUGUACAGAAGCUCUACUCAUCCCUGAAGACUUUCUAACGAUGAACACUGGUCCGUUUAGCCUGGCAUUAGCUGGACACAUGGCUUCUCAAGACGACAUCUUGGAGCCUCCCCUGCGGUUAGGUGUGACCAACCAUGAAAACUAAUUUCAAGUCAUGGGUCUUCUGAGUCUUGGCCUUAAGACAUUGGAUAUGUCUUCCACCACUCUUUUCCUUUUCUGAAACAUGGAUGUAGUAGUCAUCCAGCUUUGACAAUUCAACAGAGACAACAUUCUACAGAAUGGGGAGCAACAAGAUGGAAAGAACCCGGAAAGAACAGAAUAGAGAUAUUUCCCUGCUCUGAAUCACCUUCUAUCUCUGAACAUUACAUAAGAGAAAAAUAUGCUUCUGUCUUGUUGGAGUUGUAUUUUGAGGUCUGUUAUGGCAGUUUAGUCUAUAUCCUUAUAUUCUUAUAGAUUGUUUUAUAAUAAUUACAUGUUACUUAACAAUGAUAUGAUGAUGCAAUGGGAAAACCAUGUUUUAUCCUUGCCACAGUCCCAUGCACUCUUGCUAGAGGCAUGAUAUUUUUCCCCAUUUCCACGCUUUCUGAGUGCUGAGGACUUUGCAAGCAUGUUUCAUUCAAUCCCCACAAUCAUGCUCUAAUGUAUCUAUCAUUAUUUACCCUUAUUCUACAAAUGUGAGACCAAGUUCUAGGAUGUCUCAUUAUAUGUUCAUGUUCUCAAAGCUAGUAGUAGUAGAGAGAGGAUUUAAAGAUCAAGUCAGGGGCGCCUGGGUGGCUCAGAUGGUUAAGCGUCUGCCUUCAGCUCAGGUCAUGAUCCCAGUGUCCCGGGAUCGAGCCCCACGUCGGGCUCCCUGCUUGGCAGGGAGCCUGCUUCUCUCUCUCCUUCUACUGUUCCCCCUACUGUGCUCUCUC